rnacentral:rRNA from 1 species
UGGGGAAUUUUGGACAAUGGGCGCAAGCCUGAUCCAGCCAUGCCGCGUGCAGGAUGAAGGCCCUCGGGUUGUAAACUGCUUUUGUACGGAACGAAAAGCCUCUUUCUAAUAAAGAGGGGUGAUGACGGUACCGUAAGAAUAAGCACCGGCUAACUACGUGCCAGCAGCCGCGGUAAUACGUAGGGUGCGAGCGUUAAUCGGAAUUACUGGGCGUAAAGCGUGCGCAGGCGGUCUUGCAAGACAGUGGUGAAAUCCCCGGGCUCAACCUGGGAACUGCCAUUGUGACUGCAAGGCUGGAUUACGGCAGAGGGGGAUGGAAUUCCGCGUGUAGCAGUGAAAUGCGUAGAUAUGCGGAGGAACACCGAUGGCGAAGGCAGUCCCCUGGGCCUGUACUGACGCUCAUGCACGAAAGCGUGGGGAGCAAACA